rnacentral:rRNA from 1 species
CCUACGGGAGGCAGCAGUAAGGAAUAUUCCACAAUGGGCGAAAGCCUGAUGGAGCAACGCCGCGUGCAGGAUGAAGGCCUUCGGGUCGUAAACUGCUUUUAUAUGUGACGAAUAUGACGGUAGCAUAUGAAUAAGGGUCGGCUAACUACGUGCCAGCAGCCGCGGUCAUACGUAGGACCCAAGCGUUAUCCGGAGUGACUGGGCGUAAAGCGUUGCGUAGGUGGUAAUUUAAGCGAAUAGUGAAAUCUUGUGGCUCAACCAUGAGGCUAUUAUUCGAACUGGGUUACUCGAGAGUGAGAGAGGUAACUGGAAUUCCCGGUGUAGGAGUGAAAUCCGUAGAUAUCGGGAGGAACACCAAUGGCGUAGGCAGGUUACUGGCUCAUUUCUGACACUAAGGCACGAAAGCGUGGGGAGCGAACCGGAUUAGAUACCCUGGUAGU